rnacentral:lncRNA from 1 species
AUUAACUCCCACAAUUUAACAGCUGAAGUCUUAACAUAGCCAGUGACUUCUUUCUCUGAAAUGCUACUGAAAUGAAAUAGAUGUGAACAAGAACACCUAAAGGAAGUCAGACUUUCUACAAGAUUGAACGCUGUGUCUCAGCAGAGAUUGGAUAGAAACUGUGAACUGAGAAGUAUAUAUAACAAGGAGUUUGAUUUCCUCUUUCCCGAGACUCCUGGAACAGAGUAAUCAGCUCAUGUUUGGUAUAUGUAUGACAACAAUAACAAGAUGUGAGUUUUGUUAUGUUUUCAUUUGCUUUAUUUUAUUGUCCUUUCAUCACAAAAACCUUGUUUGUCUGUCUUAAAACUUGACAACAUUGCAGCAUGUCUUUUAAUUCUUGCUUCUCUGACUUCUAUCCUGAACUCUCACUACCCAAUAAAGCUCAACUUUCA